rnacentral:antisense_RNA from 1 species
GGAGUUAUUGUUUGUGUGUAGGGAUGCGUGGAUAAAAGGGAGCUGAUUUCUAGAGCCACAGGUUGAAGAUGACAGUAGAUCCUAAGGAACCUCAGUUCUAUCCCAAAAUGUGAAGGCCUUUUUACUCAACCACAAAGAAGUGGUCAGCAGAAAACUGGUCAUCCCGGCCUCUGGGGCCAUGCACAGCACUCAGGAGGAGCUACUAUUUUCCCUGCCUGUUUACAUGCGGCCUGGGGCCUUGUGGGCUAUUUGAAAAUUAGGACACGAGAAGUCCAAGCAACACCUGAUAGACUGGGAGCUCCAUGAGGUCUGAGACAACCUGAAGAUGCCCAGCUCAGCAGAGACUGGCUACGGCAAUCACUCAGUAACUGUUUGUUGAAUUGGACAUAAUAGAAGAGUUGAAGAAUUUUAAACAAGUCACCAUCAGUCCAGUGGAUUCCUCAAAGCAAACCUGGAAAUCUCGGCAUGAGUUGGAUUUAAGGCAGUACAUUUUCAGCUCCUGAAAAUUUGAACAGUUUCUCAAGAGAACAACUUGAAACAGAAAGGCAAGGAUGUAGAUGUGGUUGUAGAAGAUGAUGUCUGCGGCCACCAAACUGUCCACUGUGAAGAUAAACCAUGCAUGUUUAGUAGGCAGUGGCUC